AAUUGUACAAAAACAGUUCUCUGGACAAUCAUUCCCAGGUUUUCAAUCGAAGGAUCUGUUGACUUGAUUUCAACAUUAGAUUUUUACUGUGUGAACAACAAAGGAACACACAGUUGGAACUUACAACCAAGAAUUAUUCAGUAAAAUAUGGUAAAAGGGGAUGCCAGGAAAAUGAGACCAGUUUCAAACCGUGGAGGGAAUUGCCCUAUGGGGCACAUAUUCUUCAAAUGAAUAAUUACAAAGUAACUUUUCAGUAUUGCAGUUUAAUAGUCAAUUGAAAUACCACUCAAGUUACCCUCUGAAAGAAUCAUUGAUAACAUUGGUUGGAGAUUAUUAUUAAUGUUCUUCUAUCACAUUAUUAGUUGCUUUCUGUUAGUUCCUACUUUUAUCAUUGUUGAUGGACUCCACAGGUUAUGUGCUUAUGGACUUAUGCACUGCGUAUAUUCUCCGCCAAUAGUGACAUAAGAAUGCGAAGGCAAGCAACAUCUUACUCGAUGAUGAACUGACACCUUCUAUCAGCAAUUGUGGACUAACUGUGUUGGGGACUCUUUUUGACUCAACCGAAGGUAAUUGCUCAUGCUUUUCAUUCUGUAGUAUAGAUGUUUUUUAGUAGAUUAGCUUCUUCAUAAGCUUAUGGUGUCGACAAGAUAACUACAGCAACAAGAAAACCUUUAUCCAAAUUUAUUGGGUUUGGCUAUGUGAAUCUUUUUCUUCCAACUCAAAUUAUUUUAAGGAUUACCUCCACCACUAAAUUAACUAUAAUUUUAUUCUUCUUAAUUACUUUCAACUAAGUUUUUAUAGGCCUACUACCUCUUACUAUUCUUUAAUAUUUAAUUAAUCUUAUCACUUUCCUAAUUAGAGCAUUUAGUGGUCUCCGUCGCUGACAACGCACCAUCUCAGUCGAUUUUUUUUAUUUUCUUCUCAAUAAGAGCAACCUCUAAUUUAUUUGAACCGCACCUAUUUUCUUAUCCAAUCUUUUAGGUAUAUCCACAUGUCCGUCAUAUUUUCUCAUUUCUGAUAUACUCAUUUUCACACAUGUUUUUUAAUUGCCCAACAUUUAGAUCUAUAAUGUAUUGUUGGUCUUACAUAUGUCCUACAAAACUUUUCCUUCGCAUAGAGCAUUUUACGAUCACAUAGGACUCUAAAAUAAGGAAGAUCCAGUUGAAAUGUACUAAUUUUCUGUAAGUAGUUAUAAGCGUGACUUGACCCUUUAGGUCCAGGAGCUGGUGCCUAAUCCCCGGCCAAGACAAAUAUGAGCAAGAAAGGGCCUUCCCAUAAUUGCAUAGGAUUUUUAGUAUUGUCCGAGUAGGGUUAAAUCUGUAAUUUGAUGUACACUAUAACUUAUUGAGAGGACUACCUAAUUAUAUUUUAGCAUAUAAUGUUUAGCAUGAUGAGUAUGUGAAUGAAGUUUGAAGGGUUUGCUCAACCUAGUUCCAUCCUCUGAAAAUUUUUGAUACAAGAUACUAAAAGGUGUUAGCAUUAGGCCGCAAUUUCCUUCAAAGUAUUUUUGUAGUACUGGCAGAAGUGAAUAUUAUAUUAAUAGAGAGUCCACAAGUUCUAGCAUCUGAUCCUUAUUUAUGUGGUCAGAAAUAACCUCUUUCUACUUGUUAUAUCUGUUGAAACUUUUCAGGAAACUAAAUACGUAAUUUAUCUUGAAAUUUGAGAUACGGGUAAAACCUUACAUUUGAUGCAACAGAGAAAUACUAUUCUAGAGCGAAUGCCCUACGUGAUGAACUUAGAUAUGGAGCUUGAUAUAACCUAAAAAGGGGGAAUAGCGAAUUAACGUCUUUUCAUUAACCUGCAUCUGAUCAAAGGAUGUUAUCACUUACCUUUAGGCUUUGCGUUGAAGCACCAUUCAUUUUUUUUUCCAGUCACCUUCAGCUACAAAUUUGUACUCUUACUUAUGGCUUUGAUGGUAAAGAAGAAAAAAAUCAUGAGUUUGAAGUUAAUGGUGAAGUUUCUUUCAAUUGGCAACCAUGCUAGGCAAGAACCAGACGUUGUAAUUUGAUAUCUUUCGAAAGAGAAUUUCCUUGAGAAUAAUAAACUAAUAUCUCUAUCCAUUUUCAUUUAGGCUCUGUUUGGUUUGAUAGAAAGGGAGAGAAAGGAAAGUAAAAUAAAAGAGAGUGUGUUUCUAUUUUUUGGUUUAAAAGAAAAUAAAAGAGAAAAAGAAAAUAAUUUUCACGAUAGAAAAAACGGUAUAUAUUUUUUCUUUUCCACUUUCUCUCCGCUGCCAGUGAAAAUGAGGGGGAGAGACGGAACCGCCUUGCUCGUCGCCUCCCAACCUGAUCCCGAUCUCUCGCUUCUCCUUCCAAAACUCGAGUCCAUCUCCUUUCUCUUUCGCCUCCUUGUUCUCUCUCCUCUCUCUCUCUCUCUCUCUCUCUCUCUCUCUCUCUCUCUCGAUCAAAUCCCAGUUUAAUGCCGAUCAAAUCCCAGUCCGAUGCUAAUCAAACCGUUGUUCAACUUCUCAGUUUUCGACAACAAAGCGACACUAUAGCUAUCCGAUCGGAUUGGUUGUCUCAAAUUUGCUGAAGAUUCGAGUUCUCCUCUCAGAUCACUCUCCUGUGAAAAUGAAUCUAGCGAAGAAAAAACUCAAUGAUUCAUCAGUUGAGGCAAAAAAUUUUCGAUUUUUAUGAGGAGUAUAUUGUGGGACGUGGGUGCUACUACUAGAAGAGUAUCCAGAUAAUUUCCCUUUCACAUGAAAUAAGUGAAUAUCGUAUGUUGCUGACUUGUUGAAGCCAUCAGUAUGCUGAUUUCCCGCUUCAAUACCUAUAGUGGGAUGAAUGAUGCGAGAUUGAUGUUUUGAUGGGCUCACUAAAGUCAAAAACCAAGGACUUUGGCAUAUUUCUCUCUCUCUCUCUCUCUCUCUCUCUCUCUGGUUAAGAUUCUCUAUAUGAAAUUGAUUGUAAUAGAAUUUGUUUGUUAAGAUUUUCUAUAUGAAAUUGAUUAUAAUAGACUUUGUUGGUUAAGAUUUUCUAUAUGAAAUUGAUUA